CUUUAGUCCUUUGUGGACUAAGGUGAACAUGAGCAAGGGGUUUGCUAUUUUCACACAUGGUUUAUCUGUCCUCUUACUGGUAGCAGAUUACACUCGAGUUUUCACAACAGACACUCUUGUCCCUAUCUCCUUGCGCAUGAACAUUUACAAGAUUCUGGAGCAGAAGCGCUCAAACCUUUAAAACCCUAUUUUACAUCAUAACCUUUCUCACCUACAUGUGUGUGUGUGCUCAGUGGCCUUUGCAGCCUUAUGGACUACAGCCCGCCAGGCUCCUCUGUCCAUGGAAUUUUCCUGCCAAGAAUACUAGAGUGGAUUGCCAUGCCCCCCUCCAGGGGAUCUUCUCAAUCCAGGAAUCUAACCCAUGUCUCCUGUGUUUUCUGCAUUGCAGGGGUAUUCUUUACCCACUGGGCCACUCAGACCUCACCUACACACCCUACACACACCCUUAAAAGCACUUACCACCCCCCGUUUUAGGCGUAAGGUCAGGUUCCCGAACAGCAGAGCUUGAGUUUGAGACAGUAUCGCUGGUGUGAGAAAGACAAGAGAGGGGAUGAAGAAGCUUAGGAAAGAUGCAGUUUCUGCUAAAAAACCAGCCUCCGUUUAGGGAGAAGGCAAUGGCACCCCACUCCAGAACUCUUGCCUGGAGAAUCCCAUGGACGGAGGAGCCUGGUGGGCUGCAGUCCAUGGGGUCGCGAAGAGUCAGACACGACUGAGCGACUUCCCUUUCACUUUUCACUUUCAUGCAUUGGAGAAGGAAAUGGCAACCCACUCCUGCGUUCUUGCCUGGAGAAUCCCAGGGACAGGGGAGCCUGGUGGGUUGCCAUCUAUGGGGUCACACAGAGUCGGACACGACUGAAGUGACUUAGCAGCAGCAGCCUCCGUUUAACCCAACAUAAAAACCUGAGCUACAAAUGGCACCACAAGUUUGCCUAACCGUGCCGGGGGCGAGUCUGGCUUUUAUACCCCUCAUGCGUCAGCCAUUGGCUGCUGGCCACCUGGGGGCGUGGGGAUGGGGCGGGGCAACUGUCCAGACUUCUCCAGGUAAAGAGGCUCCUCUCCGCUUACUGGCAAGUCGCGGUAAGAGUGCAGGUGUGAGCAGUUAGCAGCUAAUAGAGCAGGCAAUCACAUCACCUAUAAAUAACAAGAGGUUUGAGGUUUCCUUCUCAAGUUUGAUGCUUCUCAUUUUAAUUCUUUAUUAGUGCAGUUCAGUCGCUCAGUCAUAUCCGACUCUUUGCGACCCCAUGAAUUGCAGCACGCCAAGCCUCCCUGUCCAUCACCAACUCCUGGAGUUCACCCAAACCCAUGUCCAGCAACCUUUAGCUAUGUAAUAAUUCUGUCUCCCUGUCAAACAUUACAAGAUCUAUUAGCCUGCUUCCUACUACCAAGGAACGAUGCCUCCACCCCAUCUUUUUAUUGAGUUCACAGCUUCUAUUGUACUUUUAAAAAUUCAAAAUAAAUAGUGAUUUUUAUGUGUGCAUGUUUGUGUGUGUGCUGUUUUGUUUCUUCCUUCUGGGUUCAUUUUUCUUCUUGAGGUAAAUCAUUUAAUAGUCCCCGUUGUGAGGAUCAGUAAGUGGUAAAUACUCCAAGUUUCUGAAUGGUGAAAAUGACUUCUUUUUUGUCUUACAACUGAAAGGU
ensembl:lncRNA